rfam:Mus musculus chromosome 6, GRC primary reference assembly.
AGCAUUUGUAUGUUUCCGAUAAACUUAUGGACAAAGGCAUAGAAGACAGGUGCAAAAAUAAAACCUCUUUUUACAACCCAGAACGCUGAUGAGUUUCGAUACAUGUGAGACAAAGAACA